GACGAACGCUGGCGGCGUGCUUAACACAUGCAAGUCGAACGGAAAGGCCCUGCUUUUGUGGGGUGCUCGAGUGGCGAACGGGUGAGUAACACGUGAGUAACCUGCCCUUGACUUUGGGAUAACUUCAGGAAACUGGGGCUAAUACCGGAUAGGAGCUCCUGCUGCAUGGUGGGGGUUGGAAAGUUUCGGCGGUUGGGGAUGGACUCGCGGCUUAUCAGCUUGUUGGUGGGGUAGUGGCUUACCAAGGCUUUGACGGGUAGCCGACCUGAGAGGGUGACCGGCCACAUUGGGACUGAGAUACGGCCCAGACUCCUACGGGAGGCAGCAGUGGGGAAUAUUGCACAAUGGGCGGAAGCCUGAUGCAGCAACGCCGCGUGCGGGAUGACGGCCUUCGGGUUGUAAACCGCUUUCGCCUGUGACGAAGCGUGAGUGACGGGAAUGGGUAAAGAAACACCGGCUAACUACGU
rnacentral:rRNA from 1 species